rnacentral:sRNA from 1 species
AUUACCUUCUUUGCCACAGCACUCACUCUCAAUACACUAUAAAUUCCAUAAUUUCUAAUCCUUGAAUCAUAAACCUUCAAACCUUCCAUUCUCAUUCUCAAGCACUUUCUCUUUCUUUGCAAUCACGAAAUGGCACCAAAAAGAAAAGUUGUGUAUGAUAUAUCUUCUGCAAAGAAGGAAAAGGAGUAGCUGCUUCAUCGAAACCGAAAGAAAUUGAGCAAGUGGAAGAGCUAUCUGAUAGCUCUUCAAGCAGUCCUCCAAUAACUCAAUUGUGAAGAAGGGCGAAACAUUUGGCACCUGUUAGAGGAAGGAGAAUAUUGAGGUCAAGCCAUGUAGCAUCAUCAAUUGGCAAAACUACACCCGUCCCUGCAUUCACCACUCAAUCAACUUCAGAAUCCACACCGUAAGAAUCAUCUUCUACUACUCUACCAACUCAGAGGCAAGAGGUUAGAAAGAAGGAGCUAGCACAACCAUCCGCUCAAUCGGACAAAAUUAGGUUCCAGACCAUUUAUGCAAGUAUGUUUCAUCUAUCUUAAAUUCUACAAUUUCUUGUGCAGGGUUGUCUACACUUAACAUAACCAAGAACUACACUAAAUGUAGAUGCCUCCACCCUAAAGACAGGACAACUCAUUGAAACAUUCAUAUCUUUGAAUUGAAUAAUGAUUUCCAAAUGAACAUAAAAUAAUUAACCAAAGGAAGUUAAUGAAACAUAUAUGAUGCAUGUAACAACAAAGGACAAGUUUUAGUAUCAUAAAAUCCAAGUAAAUAUCCAGGAAUUUUUGAAGCGGAGGCUAUAGUGCUUCAUUCUAUUAUUGGAAAAUCUGAUGAAAGCACUACAUACUGUAUAACAGAUGCUUAUUCAGAAUCCUGGCUCACUUCUCCAUCAUCAGAUAACUCAUCAAACGAUCUGAUGUCAAGCUGGUAGCGUAGGAUACCACCAAUACCACCAAAUCCUCUGCAAAACUGUGAUCCCUCUUGGGAUUUGUUGGUCACAAAUUCCAGUGAGCAUCCAAAUUUUUUGUACUCAUUCGCAAACCACUCAAGCAACGGCAUCUUCUCCUGAACUUCUAACUCUGCAGAGGUGACAGGAUCUCUGAAAUUGCUCUGAUUAGCCUCUUGCUCCUUGUUGAAGUGCUUUAUGAGAAUCUCACCAGUAGAACUAUCUUUUUGUACAUAUCUGUUAAUAUCCAAAUUUUCCCACACAAUGAGUAUUUCCACAGCACCCAUCUCCAGAGCCUUCAAUGUGUCAUCAACCCCAAACACGUAUUUCCCAGUAUCCUGGCUGAUUUCCUCGAAGUAUUUUCCUAUCAAUCGUUUUUCUUGAAUGAAUUUCACAUUAGAUAACAGUUCUGCAGAUAACUCAAUAGCUUGGUUAAAGCCAUUUUCUCCACCAUAGGAAACAUCAACCACAUUCAAUAUUUUGGCUUGCAAUCGAGGAUCAAACAUAUCUGACUGGCUAAGCUCUGUCUUGAAGUCAGCUGAACCAGCAAGUAUAAGUCCAGAAACAUUGGGUUGACUAGUAGCAGGAUUGAUGAAAAACUGAGUAGCAAGUUCUGCAGUCUUCCUGACAUAAUUGUGUCUCUUUUCCAUGCGAAGACGAGCAAAACGCAAAGCAGAUUGCCCUCCUCUACCGUGUUUCUUUGGUAGAUCAACAGUAAAUUUAUGAAGCACUUCACGUGUAUUUCCACUUAGAGUCCCAAAAAGGGUUCCAUUUCCAUCCAUAAUAAUAAAACCAAACUUGUCAUCAGAUUCUAAAAGUUCAUUAAGAGCUUCUGUGUGAAACUUGUUGUCACAGAGGUAAAGUGACGCAUUUAUAGGCUUGAAAGGUUCAAAAUCAAAUGUCACCUUUUUUUCCUUGCCAUCGUCUGUGACAAUGGUGCCAGUAUACAGGACCAAACCAUUGGGAGGAACCUUAUUAUACAGUUUCAACCUCUGUUGAGCAGAAGUAAUCGCAGCCAACACUGACUGCCGGUUCACCCUACUUUUGAUAUUUGAAGCAGUUCCAUAUUCAUCUCCCAACAUCUUAGUGACACGAGAAAUUUGAUCACGAGGAGGCAUAAUCAGAGAAAUCAUGCUUGUACCAUUUCCUCUUGCAGAUUCCAAUGCUUUGAUCAAUUUCUUGAUCUUCCAUAUCUCAAUAUUCUUGUCUGAUUCAUGACCAUCAGCCAUUGUAGGCAAUAACAGAAAGAAUAGCCUAAAACUGUAACCAAAUGGAAGGUGACGAUCAUAUAACCAUCACACAAAAACACUUCCAAAAUCACAAAUAAAUUAGUAUAUUUACUUGUAUUAUUGAACAAUAUUAACAUAAUUAAGAAGGAAUACUAUUUAUAUCUGAUACGUAGGCAUGCUUAGUGGAUGCUGACAGAAUCAAACACCAGUAAAUUGAUAAAGGAUCUUCUUCAAUGAUUGUAGACUCAAAUAAGCAUUAGCAGUGAAGCACGUGAGAACAGCAGUGCCUAACCCAAGAUCCAACAGAACUCUAGGCACAAGGUGCUCAAAAUAAUUUAUAAAUGAUAUCAUAGCUUGAAGAAUAAUUACAUAAGUUCAUUACAGUAAACAACCACUUACAGUAAACAACCACCACAACAACUGAACAUAACUUUAAUACCUGCAAGCUACCAUGAUUUCAUAAUUGGUAAAGUAAAGCAAAGUUACAGAGGAACAGUGGUCCCACGAGUAACAAAAACUUUGAUUAGAAAUGUAUCAGAUACCGUUGACAGGUGAAAAAAUUGAAUCCAAAAUAAAUAAAAAUAAUUAUUACACAAACAGAAAUCCGUAAGAUCGCCACUUCUGCAAAAAAAAAAAAGUUAACUGCAAACAAAGGAAUUCCAUUAGUAUUGGUUUUAAAGCCUGAAACCUAUCAGUCAACCAAAGUUCAUAUUUUCACACUUCCUUCUCCAUUUUCGUUCAAAAGACCCAAACUUAGUUAGAGUCAACUUCAGUAUUUUCAUUAUCUGUAUUAACAAAAUAAAAAUAAAAUAUAUUUUUUAAAGGGUCCAAUUUUCAAGUCAAAGCCUGGGAAUUUAAAGUCAUACUGCAACCCCAGAUGGAUAUCCUGCUAUCAACAGUACCCAGAAACAAAUCAAACCAAAUAAGAAAACUUGCUUCUGAAAAACCAUAAAUAAAUAGAAAAAAGUUGACGAGCAGAAGGUCCAAGUUGUGAUUGGAGCAAAUCUAGGAAAAAAAAAUUGAAGUGAUGUGUAUGUACUCACCUUUGUGUAUGUUUGGGUGAGAAAUGAGAAUCUCUCCGGCUAGGGUUUUGGUGUGCGCUUCUGGAGCAGAAACGAUGAAGAGAAGAAGGAGAAUUUUUUAUGGAUUAUUAAAACUAAUCUUCUCUGCUUUGUUUUAUAUUAUUGAACGUUCUUUUCUUACAUUAAGCUAAAUUGUUCUGUUGUGUUGACGUGAAUUUGUUAAUUUCUUUUCCUAAACAUCUAUUAAUUAUUCAUAAGAUGUAAUUAAUGUAAUAACUAUUGUAAAAAACAUCUAUUGUGGAAAGGCUUGC